rnacentral:lncRNA from 1 species
UCAUAAUUUGUCUUCUGGUGUGGGAAUAGGUUUCACUCAAACAUACCAGAAACUGCAGUAACAUAUUAGCUUCAAAAUGCUGAGAGUAUUUCGUCGAUUUAGGAAAAGGCAUGAGUGCGUCAAAUUCAUCCCAUAGAUCUUUCAAUUUAGAGAAAUAAUCAACAAUCAUGGUUCCUUAAGUAACACUAUGAAUUUCUAUAUGAAGAUAUAGCACUCUAGAGCAAUCGACUUUAUCGAAUCUUUACUUGAGAUCCUCCCAAACCUUAUGAGCAUCAUAAGCAUACAAAACACUACUCAAUAAGCUCGGUCUAACCGAGUUCAUCAUCCAUGAUAGAAAGACAAUGUUAACUUUUUCCCACUGAUCAUGUAACUCAGGUUCAAAUCUAUUCAGGAAAUCGACCAUAAAAAAACCUAAUUUGCUCUUACCUAAAAGGCCAAUUCUCAUAGCACCACUCCAUAGAGCAUAAUUGUCAGAUCCAGUCAGCUGAAGUGAUAUCAGUAUACUUCUAAGAGUACCUGUUGGCUAUAAGAAUAAAAGAUGAUUGUAAUCGGCUACGGGGAAACUUGUGGUACAUGUUCCCAAAUCACCAUUUCCAGUGUUGGAGGAACAAGUACAUCACUCGAGGGACUCGACUCAGCUCCAAUUGCCACUUUCUAGUAGCAAAGUACUUGUAGAUUAGUUAUAGUGAACAAUUCUGCAAAAUCCUCUCUCAACUCUCAAACCCUAUCUCCUUCUAGCUUAGAUGAACUCUAAGGCAAUUCAACCAGAAAUUGUUGAACAGAAGUUUCUGAGAAGACUGGAGUCAAACUAGAGUUACAAUGAAGAUCUACAUCGGUGGCUCUGAUACCAUAUUAGCAGCCAUAACCAUCAAAGAGAGAGAUAGAGAGAUAGAGAGAGAGAGAGUUGAGAAAGAGGAAGAACACUUUGAGUAAAAUUGGAAAUGCAAUCAUGCGUUUUUCUAUUCAUA